rnacentral:rRNA from 1 species
UACAGAGGUCUCAAGCGUUGUUCGGAUUCAUUGGGCGUAAAGGGUGCGUAGGCGGCGCGGUAAGUCGGGUGUGAAAUCUCGGAGCUUAACUCCGAAACUGCAUUCGAUACUGCCGUGCUUGAGGACUGGAGAGGAGACUGGAAUUUACGGUGUAGCGGUGAAAUGCGUAGAUAUCAGGAGGAACGCCGGUGGCGAAGGCGGUUCUCUGGGCAUGACCUGACGCUGAGGAGCGAAAGUGUGGGGAGCGAACAGG